ACAAUGGCCGGUACAAAGAGAAGCGAGGCUGUGAAGCGGAGCAAAUCUCAAAAACCGGUCCCAGUUCGGAUUGUAGGCUGCAACUCGCCUACAUGAAGUCGGAGUUGCUAGUAAUCGCGGAUCAGAAUGCCGCGGUGAAUGCGUUCCCGGGUCUUGUACACACCGCCCGUCACACCAUGGAAGUUGGGGGCGCCCGAAGUUGCCUAAGAAAUAAGGUACCUAAGGCGAAACCAAUGACUGGGGUGAAGUCGUAACAAGGUACC
rnacentral:rRNA from 1 species